CGGGCAAACCCUAUUGUGAACUCCGUGGGCGCGGGAUCUCGCAGGCUUUGCGAGAAUCUAACGCCUGCUGAUCUAUCACUGUCUCCCAUCCUCUACGAAUGGGACCAUCUAGUUGCAGCAAAGCAAGCUCAAGGCUCCCACGGAUUCUACAUUAUGACACAGAUUUUUCCCCCCUGCGAUUUCUCUUAUUUUCAUCGACAUGCCAGCAGUGUGAGAGACAGAUUGGUGUGAUUCCAUUCACUGGUACCUUCUGAAAUGAGAGCUGCCACAUAAUAAUUACUGUUGAAGGUGCAGAUGGAGAGUAGCACCAUAAGUCAUCUGUUCCAGUAAGGGAUCUAAUUUAUUUCUCCACUUCCAGGACAAGGUAUUUCAAACAACCACUGAUAGGUCUUCCUAUGUCAUACUACUGGCCUGCCAAUUAAUAAUCUCAGGAGAUAUGACUGCCAAAUACAUGACAAGUUUCUAAACCAUGGAGUACUCUGCCUCUUCUUACUCCCUCCAGUGAUUUGCUCUUCUUUUUCAUACUCAUCUACUCAAUCUGCAAAUCUUUGUUUCACUUCCAUACCUUCAAUAUGGACUUCCUUGGUGAAAGUUUGGCUGUUUAAUGAAAAUCCCUGAAACUGACUUCUGGCUUCAGUACUUCAUAGCUGUAUGAGUUUGAACUAGUUACUUAAAACUUACCCA
rnacentral:lncRNA from 1 species